AACGAACGCUGGCGGCAUGCCUAACACAUGCAAGUCGAACGAAGCCUUCGGGCUUAGUGGCGCACGGGUGCGUAACACGUGGGAAUCUGCCCUUUGGUUCGGAAUAACAGUUAGAAAUGACUGCUAAUACCGGAUAAUGACGUAAGUCCAAAGAUUUAUCGCCGAAGGAUGAGCCCGCGUAGGAUUAGGUAGUUGGUGGGGUAAUGGCCCACCAAGCCGACGAUCCUUAGCUGGUCUGAGAGGAUGAUCAGCCACACUGGGACUGAGACACGGCCCAGACUCCUACGGGAGGCAGCAGUGGGGAAUAUUGGACAAUGGGCGAAAGCCUGAUCCAGCAAUGCCGCGUGAGUGAUGAAGGCCUUAGGGUUGUAAAGCUCUUUUACCAGGGAUGAUAAUGACAGUACCUGGAGAAUAAGCUCCGGCUAACUCCGUGCCAGCAGCCGCGGUAAU
rnacentral:rRNA from 1 species